rnacentral:rRNA from 1 species
CAGUCGUACCUUCGGGUAAUCAGCCUUUUGGGUGUGAUUAUGUGGAGCGUGAGGAGUUAAACGCCUUCAUGCCUGCAUAUUCGUGCACUUUGGGUGUACUUGCCCGUGUGGUUGGUUAACAUCAAUUUUGGUUAUCAUAAAAUGACUGGAGGAAUGUAGCUUCGAUCUCGUAUUGAAGUGUUAUAGCCUUCGGUAGAUGUGAUGAUCGAGAUUGAGGAUUGCAACGGAUACCCUUCGGGGCUACCUGUCUGGUCUCUGAUCGUUGCUCUGGUGCCGAAAGCUUGCUUACGGUUAUCAAAGUCGAUGGUCAAUAGGUUAGAACGGGUUAAA